UGACGUGUUUCCACAUAUCUGAUGUCUUCAUAUGCGGCGUGGAUGGAAAUCAUUUUUUUCUGUGGGGAGGAAAGCGUGCCCCUCAAUCCCAAUUUUAUCUAGAGGGACCUGCGCUUACCUAUCGAAGGACCUCGAGAGAUCGAGGGAUAUAUGCAUGUGUGUAGGAGGAGACAGCUAGGUUUGCAUAGCCCAAAGGCUUGGAAUCCUCUCCGAAAGAUGCGUGGCCCAGUGGAAAUACGCUAUUUCUCCUACCGCGUCCCCUCGAAAUGGCUCCGCGAGAAGGAAAGGAUUUCGUUUUGCUCGCCGCUCUCCCCUGAAGCGCAUGUCUCCGGGAAGAGGCGGCGGUCUCGGCGGCGAGGAAGCGGAGGACGAAGGCGACGGGGAGAGGUCGGAAAGGAGCCGGUGCCUUCAGCGGGAGGCGCCGGGCUGGCCCAGCCGGGACCGGCGCGGGGUCAUGGCCAGAGAUGCUGCCGCCCGGAGCGCUCCCACGUGCGGGUGCAGACUGCGGCGCUGCUCUCCGCCCUUCCAGCGGUGGACAGGUGAAAGGGGAGGGCUCAGCCCUGUGGAGGAUCGCCUCUGGCCUUUCCCAUGCCUCCCUGCCGGCAUGGUUAUAAAGAAGGAUCUCUAGGGGCAGGUGCUACGUCUGCCCCCGUCGCGGCUCAAAUUUGUCCUCGCCUGAUGGCAACAGGCAAAGUCGUCCUUGUCCACUUCCCCGGCACCACUGGCUGUCCUCAGUUUUCACCUUCCCACCCUCGUGCUGGGAUGUGCUCAUGGUUUCUCCCUGUUGCUUUGUGCUUCCUUCAUCUACAAAUCCUAUCUGAUCUCACCAGCUUCCUUCCACCAGCCUUGAUCACUAGCAAAUUAAAUUCUGCUGAUCCCAUACGAGUUAUUUCGUUCUCAGCCUUGGGCCUCAUUCAUUUUUGUUUAUGCUCAAGGCAGCCGAGCAGCCUUACUAACAGUAGAAAUGGGGAAUAGGUAAGUUCAUUCUCCCAUAUAUGGCUUACGCUGAGCCUAAGGAAAGAUUUAAAGAAGAAAGAAAGAGAGAAAGAAAAGAAGAAAGAAAGGAAGAAAGAAAGAAAGAAACAGAAAAAGGCUUUACAUAAAGAAUACAUUUUUGCCUGAGACUCUGUAGGUAGAGAGGGACUCUGCCUAUAUAGGCUGCUUCCAAAGUAAAAGUUACAUAGGAAAGACACAGAAAAGAUGGCAAUAUCUGAAUACUAGCAGCUGUUACAUAUUUUCUCCUUCUCCAUGGCACUGAAGAUCUAGUAAGCAUGGUGAACAUAACACUCCUUACGUAUAAGAGAUCCCAGUCUCCUGUCCGGGUUCCUGAGGCCACCAUGAGUGCUAUAAUGUUCUUCACAGCACAUUCUUGUUUUCAGAGAGGAUGAAAUUCCUCCACAGUUGCUUUUUUUUCUUCUUCCUCCUCCAUGCAUUUCCAAAUCUGUUAGGUUUCAAGCUAUUUUUUUUGGUUGGGUUUUUUUUUUGUUUUUUUUUUUUAAUGACUCAAUAUUUUCCUGAUGUGUCUGAACUCCUGAAACCUAAGUUUUAAAAUGCUGGGAAACUGUAGAUCUUGUGGAACUUUGUUACCUGAAGGUGUUUUAGCCUCUCUGAAGAGCACAUCCACAUUGACUUCCAGGUCUAAACGCAAGGACAGGGGAAACAAAAGCAAAUUGAAAUAGGAAGAAUGGUAUUUUAAGACACAAGGCCUGUCUUAGAUAAAUGUUUUGUAAGCUAGUGAGUGCCCAGACAGCUGUUGUACGUGGAUUGAUCAGGACAGCUGUCCUGAGAAGGCUUACCAAAAACCCCACCAAACAGCUUUUGCAUCUUAUCCUUGCAUAGAGAAGAUGUAUUACUAAUACAGCUGUGGGCGAUUUCUUAAGUCUUUCUCUUGUUUCAUGUUUCAAUUUUAAUCCCCUUCUCUCCACCCACAGUCUAAAAUUGUUACUCUGUAAACCUUCUUUCUGAUUUCAGGCAUAUCUUUGCACUGGUUCAUUUUCAGUGGUGGUUUCAGGUAAGUCACAUUGACUCCUCAUUCUCUUUCCUGUGCUUGACACUUUACCUUGUCGAUCACUUUGUCUCAAGCUCAUCAUCAUACCUGGGUCCUUUCAACUCUGGAUUUGGCUUUCCUUUCAUUGAACUACAAUAAAAUCUGCAUCAGUCUUUUCUGACUUUGGCCUCAGGGUAUGAUUCCAUAAGUAGCUGAGCAACUCCUAGCACUUACUGUGCCUGAAAAUCAGCUUUCCAUUUCUUGAUGGAUUGGCUUUCUGCUGCUUUAGUGACAUGGUAGUUUACACAAGGAUCUGGCAUGUGAUAAUGAUGCUGUAAGGUACGGAAAAGUACGGAUCAGGCAAGCAGAGCAGAAAAAGAACUGGCAAAGAGGAGGACUUCUCACUUCCAGGGAUGACAAAUAUCCAGUGUUCCCACUAGAUUAUACCAAAGUGUCUGUUCAUUCACUGCACAGAACUAUUGACCUGCCCUCAUGGCUGGUGCCACGGACUCCUUUUUUUUUUUGUUUGUUUUGAAUCAAUACCACCUAGCUGUGGAAGUACUUCUACCUGUUAGCACCCAAGCAUCCACAGCCAUGCUUUAUCUGCCAUUUCUUAUGUAGUCAGUUUAAGCAAAAGAUAGUGUCUUUAUUGGUUCUUACUCUUACAUUUAUUCAUUACAGACCUUAUGUAUAUAAAUCUACUUUAAAUAGUAAAAUUCAUUCUCAUGUGAAGCUGGGAAAACUUUCUAGGCUAUCAGUAGUUCUGACAGCUGCUUGACUCUUCCAUACAGGAGGUUCCACGCAAGCUUAUCAUCAGAGAACAAUUUCUUGUUUUUAAUAAGCCAACACCUAACUUUUCUUCCUAAAUUCACUUGAAGAGCAAUUUUUAUCAUACAUUAGCAUAAGAAAAGAGCAGCUAUUUUACAUUCUGAAAAAAUACUGCAGCAUCUCAGUUAUUAGAUACAGCUUAGUUUGUUACUGACUUCUAACAUGCUACUAUAGUGUGUGUAGGAGACAUUUCCGCUUCUGACUUUUGAUUCAAACAGAGAUUGUGUCAAAAUGGCCACCAGGAGGAUUUUUUUUUCUAUUGAAGGAAGAUGAAAUUCUAAACUCAAGCCAUAUCUGUUAAUGUCCUGUGAUGUCUUUUCCGCACAAGGCAUAUUUUAUGAAUAUUCUCAUGUAUGAGAAAAGCAAAAGGACUGAAUCUCUGAACUAAAACAGAGCAUAAGCAGAGUAAAGCUGAACUUUCCCCCUACAGUUUCUGUCUUUGCUUUUCCUGAGGUGCUGCUGCAAGGGUCAAGAAGUAAAUGAACAAAAAAAAAAACAAAACAAAAAAGUGCUUUUUUUCCUUUGAAAUGCACUUUCUGACAGGUUCUGAAGAUCUUUUUGAGUAUUGCAGGUACUUUCUUAGAUAAUUAGGCUACAGUUUCAUGUGGAAAGUGUGUACAAAAUAUGUUUUGUGUAGUGGUGAUUUAAAUGCUGAUCUGAAAGAUCUUGGUAAAUAUAAGUGUUCACAUAGGUGCAAUGAUCAGUGGUGUAAAUUCUAGCUGGAGGCCAGUAAUGAGCAGAGUACUUCAGGGUUCAAUACAGGAUCCAGUCCUGUUGAACAUUUUCAUUAAUGACCUGGAUUAUGGAGCAGAGUAUGCUCUCAGCAAGUUUGCAGAUGCCACAAAACUAGGAGAAGUGGCUGACACAACAGAUGGUCGUGCUGCCAUCCAGAGGGACUUCAGGAGGCAGGAGGAAUGGGCUGAGAGGAACCUCAUGAAAUUCAGUAAGAAACGUACAGUCCUGCACCUGGGAAGAAACAGCCUCGAGCUCCAGGACAUGCCACCUAACUGGAAAGCAGCUCUGCAGAAGACCACUAGGGGAGUCCUGGUGGUGAGCAAUUGAGAUUGACAGACCUGUAGUAAAAAAAAAAAAAAGUGUGUGCUCCAAGUGAGCACUUGUUUCAGGGUUGAAUGCCAAGUUGACCUGUACAGUUGGAAGUGACAGGAGCCAUCCAUCAGCUUCUUCCCCCCAUCCUGCACUCAGGGAGAGGUCUGAGCAGGAGAGGGUGGGAAGAAAGAUGUGCUUGAGCAAAGCUCUGCCUAGCAGAGACAUAUAUAUAACAGCACAGAGCAAAGCAGUUUCAGAAAAAGAUCUGAUUUUUAAGAGCUUCUUCCAAAUCCGUACUGUAGCACUUCCAUCAUAACCCCGAAGACAAACUUAUGCUGUAAAUUGUUAAUUAAUUUUUAUUUACUUUUUAAGACAUGCUGUUAAGCAUUGAUUACCUUUUCUUUAAGCUAGUGAUUAAUUGUACUAUUAAACCUAAUUUUCUCUAUGUUCCCUGUAGCUCUGUAUAUAUAUAUAUAUAUAUAAUAUAAUAUAUAUAUAAUGUAUAUAUUAUAAUAUAUAUAUUAUAUAAAAAUCUUUUAAGUUAGAAUACUGGAGCAAAUUCUUCCUGAGAAAUACUGCUUGUAAAAUACAAAGCUACUGUCACUGUCACACUUGCUUAAUAAAUAUAUUAAUUUCACAGUAAUUAAUUAUCAGGGAUGGUGAUUAUAUUACAAUAAAUAAUGUGCCCCAUGUCUUCUGCCUUAAGUCCCUUUUAAAGCUGUGCAAAUGCAAAAAAUUACCAAUAUAAAUCUUGCCACUGAAUGUUCCACUUUUAACUAAACUUUGCUAACUCCAAAAUAAUUUAAAAUAUCAUCCUUCUCUCUGUCAUUCAUCCUAACAUUAAUUUCCAUCCCCAAAGAUCUCGUCGGCAACCAUAUCUAUCCAUCUAUGAAAAGACUGAAAAACAACUGCUCAUUUUGCUUUCCUUCUUUGAUUUAUAUUUUUUUAAAAUCCUUACUUAUAAUCCCAUAGCAUGACCAAUUUACAUCACAGAAGGAUACAGACAACUUCAUACAUUGCUUCUUGCAAGAUGUGUCUUCAGCUGUGGAAAAUAAGCAGAGGCCUACUAACUUUGUAAGUAGGAGAUGUUUACAAAAAAUAAUGUCUGUAUCAGAUCUAUAGAGGCAGGAAUCACCCUCCAGGGAUUGUUGCUCCAAUACACUUCCCUGCUGGCCUUCUGCCACUGGCAGUAUGGAUUCCUCAGUAAAUGCUUCUUCUGGCAGAGAUCUCUGUAAUUGCUUCACAGAAGUAAUGGAGUAGAUACCACAAGAGUUAAUUCUACAUCAAGCUGUAUUAGCUACUGGUAGGAUUUUUGAGAGGACUAAAAAGGAAAUGAGAUAACAAAAUGACUCAUACCAUUCUUUCUUGCUUGGGAGAUCCUUCCUUCAGUGCAGGAGACAAAACCUUUCUAUGAGAUUCAAAGAAUGAAAAAGGAAGUACCAGCCUGGUUCAGCUACUGAAAGGGUGUAGCAUAUUUGACAUACAUAAAUGGAAGGCUGGGUCCUUUCAAUCUGGGAAAAUAUUUGAGGCUAUGUGCAUGAACUGAAGACAAUAGGUGAAGAUAUUGACAUAGGAUAUAUUUGCAUUACAUAUUGCAAAAUAAGCUCAUGCAUACCUACAUGCACCUCCAAGCAAAUGUGAUAUUGUUCUGCCCAUAUCUAAAAGCCAUAAAAAAAUUGUAAGUUCAGUAGAAUUAAUCCACCCACUCAGUAAAGUAAUUAUCAAAAAUUCCUCUUAGUGCUCAAUGGCAUUUUCUCCUACGUUGCUGAGGAGAAGUAAUGGUGGCACCAAAAGAUUAUUUUUCCCCUUCUCAUGCAUGGUGAGUUCUCAAAAUGGUCUAUGCUGUCAAAGUAGAGAUACAAACUUUGGAUAUCCUAGAAGAAUCUAUUGGAAACUGAACACUGAUGGAGCAUCCCAGGAAGGAUAAUGAGGAAAAGAGAAAGAAAAAAAGGUGGGGAAAAAAAAAAAGAGAAGGAAAAAAAAAAGAAAGAAAUGGCAACUCAACAUUUGGUGAAUCUGCUGUAGUGAGAGUGGACAGGGUGCUCAGCAUCAGGUAGCUAGUAUCAAGAAACAAGGUCUAGGGAAAUAGUUUUGGAGGGUCAGAAUGGUUACAUGGUACGCACUAAGAAAAGGGACGCUGGCAUGAACUUGAGAUGUGUAACAGGGUGCAAAUGCCUUUGAUGCAGUAUGAGUCUUAUUCAACGUUUUUAAAAGCAUUUACUUCAUUCUCUACUGAAUGUCUCAUUCCCAGUGAAACAUACAGCAGCUACUUCUCAUAAAUGUCAACUGAAUCUGUACCAGUGGUGCUGCUCAAACUGCAUUUUUAAAAAUAAACUGCAAGCAGUAAAUGUGCUUUUUAAAUUUCCAGUGUUAUGUAAAAAGGCAUGGUAUUUUUAGCUUUACAAAAUAUCAGUUGUCAUCUUCUCAUUCUGUCCCUAUGGUGUAUUAGAGAUGGGGAACGAGGAGCUUUCAGAAAGUGAAGCUAUUAGCUCUUUAUGAGGAAGGGAUUUUCUGCAAUACUGUUAUGCAAAUCUUAAUAAAAACAUACAGCAAAGACACAACAAAGAAGGUACUUCUUAUUUUAAAAGCCAGUAUUUCUGUCCUCACUACCAAAUUGUUAUGUCUGGAAUAACAAUAGUAUAAUGUAUCCAGAAGCAAAAUAUCAACCGGAACUGUUCACUCAUGCUGACAGAAUGGCCCUCGCUUUCAAAAAAUGAUCCAGAAAAUAGUCUCUGACACGUAACACUGAGCACGCAGCUGCUGUGAGUAAGCACUGGCACAUCAACAUUGACUAAAACUGGUUUUGGAAUCAAGUCAGGCCUACUGCUGUUUUUAGGAGAUCAGAAUAAACCUACCUGCUUUACUAUGCUGUAAUCCGCAUGAGAUCUUAAAGGAUCUAGAAUGGCUCUCUUUGUGCAGAUUUGGGGGUGACAUGUCGUUUCCUGUCUGUGUUUCAAGACUUCUGAGGUCUAAUGUUCUCAUCUGCUGACAAGCUCCUUAAUAAAGCACACAUGGACCUUGCUUCUUGCUGUGUUCUCUACUGAAAUUUGAGGAACAGGAUCUUUGCAGCUAUAGAAGAGUCCGGUGAAACCAUUUGCUAUCUAUCUGAUGCUUCCUGUAGGGAGGCAUCCCCUACCAGAAGGAGACCAGGAAAGGACAGCAUCUUGUUUACUGCCUCACCUCAGAGUAUAUGGACUUAUAUGUAUCAGCACUGGGCAAAGACCCUGUGAUUUCCAUAGACAGAAAAGUGCAGGAAAGACAAUAGCCACCAUUCUGGGCAGUAUUACAUCCAACUGAUAACCCUUCCACUUCUCAUAAAUAUCAAGGAGUGCUGCAUUAGAACAGUGUGAUCUUAGCCAGAGCUUAGACACUGCUGUGUCUUUAUGCUGGCAGACAAUAAUGAGCUAUUUCUUCUUAAUCCUUGUUGAUUCUGUGGCUGACCAGCAGCUGCAAUUAGGUAAUGUUGCCAUGAAUCACUUAUGUUUUAAUGCUUACAAGUACUUUCUGUGGUGGCUUGUCAUAAUCCAGCAUCUUUAAUUUUCAGCCAAUUCUGUCCUGAGCAUGCUUUAAAAUAAGUAGUUUUAAACAGAAACAAGACACCUAUUGAUUCAAUACAUGUUUUUUAUUCACGGCAUUGUACUGUGAUCAGCCAUCACUAUGUUUCAAAAAGCUGCUCUGUUCUCACAUUUUCAAAUUUAGUAGGCCCAUCCUCAUACAGUAAGGCUCUGGAACAAAAAGUGCAGUAGAUGCAGAAGUAUUUCUUCUGCAUUUUGGGGGACAUCAGCUUUUCGCUGUUCCCACAGAAUGUUGUUCUUCCUUUUAAUCUCCCCAAAGGUGCAGUUGGUUUCAACAUGCAGUAAGAGCAUUUUUAUACUUUCAUAUUUACUACUUCUUCAUUUUACUAUCAGCGAGAUAAAAGAGUUGAAACAAUUGUACAUGAGAAAAGUUACGGUCUCAUCGUCUCUCCAAUAAAUUAUUGAUAUGUUUAGGAAAGUGGAAUUCUUAAGACACUGGGCAACAAGAAUGUAACUUGAAGCUUCGCUCCUUGGUUGGAGGUGUACGGAUUUGGAGAAAAGCAAUUUUUUGAGUAAAGAUCGGACACAAAUGGAGGCUCUAGGACUAGUAAAAAUCAGUCAAAGAACAAAGCAAAGAGUAUGCAGCAUAAUGUCUUCUCAUCAGUAUAUGCUGAAAGACUAAAUUAAUUCUGAGACCAAGAGAAUUGUUCUAGCUUCCUAAAAAUACGUCACAUGAAAGAGUAAAAAAGUUUCUAUGUUUUAUAGUCCCUCUAACCUUGACUGCAAGCUAAACUCAUCAAUUUAAAUUUAGGCUUUUGGCACACAAGAUCUGCUAUCUGUCUGCAGUGAUAUCAUGUUUGAGAAGUUAUGGGCAAUGAAAAGCAUCAACUAGACCAAAACUUUGUCCAUGUUUUCCAAAGCAUUAUCCCUCUCAGUACUGAUUAGUACUCUGUACCCUUCUCUGUCCUCUUAGUCAAGAAGACUAAUUUGCAGUGGGUAGUUUCAACCCUAUGGAAUGCCUACUUUUGAAAUUUAUGAAGGGAUGGAUAUAGUAUUUUUAAUAUAUGUUAAAACUUGUAUCUCCAUGGAGAUUUCCUCUUUCUUGAGUCAGAAAGUAUGGAGAAACUAUGCUAUCCUGGUGUGUUCUGCUUUGCUCCCCUAGGUAAGUGGACAACCAUAGCUGACAGAGCUCCAUCCCUUUCAAGGUCUUACAUUUGACAAUACUCUGGCUACGUCAUCAUGCACUGCCUGCAAUUGUUUGGAUAUCGUAUGUGGCUUUUGCACUGUUUUACAUUUACUGCACCCUUGUACAAAUCCAUAAUCCUUGCUGUACUACUGCAUAAAUCUGUUUUCAAUAUACGCAUAUACUUUCUUUUAUCAAA